rnacentral:lncRNA from 13 species
UCUACAAGACGAGAUGAGAGGCCUCAGAAGAAACCAAACCUAUAGACACCUUCAUCUUUGACUUCUGGCCUGGAAAACUCCUGAAGAAUUUUACAAUGAGAAGUCAGAUACUCCUGAAAGAAGAGUAUCUGAGACUUAAUAAGGGCUUGACAAGAAUCUACAAAAUGAAAUACUGAAAGACAGAAUGAUAAAUUCUGAGAAUUCAGCAGAAGGAACCUCAUGGACAUGAUCUAUUCUAAGACUACAAGGUAAAAUUUUACACAGUUUAGCAUCCUGGAUAGGAUGCAAAACCAUGACAUCUAUUAAAGUGGAAUAUGAAGCCUAGAAGAACUUGUUAAAAAACAACAACAAAGUACAUAAGUUGAGGAGUUAUUGAGAGGAAAAGGCUGAAGGAA